CACGUAGGGAGCAAGCGUUGUCCGGAUUUACUGGGCGUAAAGGGCUCGUAGGUGGCCAACUAAGUCAGACGUGAAAUCCCUCGGCUUAACCGGGGAACUGCGUCUGAUACUGGAUGGCUUGAGUUCGGGAGAGGGAUGCGGAAUUCCAGGUGUAGCGGUGAAAUGCGUAGAUAUCUGGAGGAACACCGGUGGCGAAGGCGGCAUCCUGGACCGACACUGACACUGAGGAGCGAAAGCCAGGGGAGCAAACGGG
rnacentral:rRNA from 1 species